rnacentral:rRNA from 1 species
GACGAACGCUGGCGGCGUGCUUAACACAUGCAAGUCGAACGGAAAGGCCCCUUCGGGGGUACUCGAGUGGCGAACAGGUGAGUAACACGUUAGUAACCUGCCCUUGACUUCGGGAUAACUUCAGGAAACUGGGGCUAAUACCGGAUAGGAAUCCUUGCUGCAUGGUGGGGGUUGGAAAGCUUCGGCGGUUUUGGAUGGACUCGCGGCUUAUCAGCUUGUUGGUGGGGUAGUGGCUUACCAAGGCUUUGACGGGUAGCCGGCCUGAGAGGGCGACCGGCCACAUUGGGACUGAGAUACGGCCCAGACUCCUACGGGAGGCAGCAGUGGGGAAUAUUGCACAAUGGGCGGAAGCCUGAUGCAGCAACGCCGCGGGCGGGAUGACGGCCUUCGGGUUGUAAACCGAUUUCAGCAGGGGCGAAGCUUGUGGUGACGGUACCUGCAGAAGAAGCACCGGCUAACUACGUG